AACCGCCAGUGGAAAUCGAUUUUCACUGGCGGUUGGCGUAAUAAAACCGCCAGUGGAAAUCGAUUUUCACUUGCGGUC
rnacentral:pre_miRNA from 7 species